UACGGAGGGGGCUAGCGUUGUUCGGAAUUACUGGGCGUAAAGCGUGCGUAGACGGUUAUUUAAGUCAGGUGUGAAAGCCCCGGGCUUAACCUGGGAAUGGCAUUUGAGACUGCAUAGCUAGGGUGCGGAAGAGGGAAGCGGAAUUUCCGGUGUAGCGGUGAAAUGCGUAGAUAUCGGAAGGAACACCAGUGGCGAAAGCGGCUUCCUGGUCCAGCACCGACGUCAGGCACGAAAGCGUGGGGAGCAAACAGG
rnacentral:rRNA from 1 species